rnacentral:rRNA from 1 species
AUUGAACGCUGGCGGCAGGCCUAACACAUGCCAGUCGAGCGGAUGAAGGGAGCUUGCUCCUGGAUUCAGCGGCGGACGGGUGAGUAAUGCCUAGGAAUCUGCCUGGUAGUGGGGGAUAACGUCCGGAAACGGGCGCUAAUACCGCAUACGUCCUGCGGGAGCAAGUGGGUGAGCUUCGGACCUCACGCUAUCAGAUGAGCCUAGGUCGGAUUAGCUAGUUGGUGGGGUAAAGGCCUACCAAGGCGACGAUCCGUAACUGGUCUGAGAGGAUGAUCAGUCACACUGGAACUGAGACACGGUCCAUACUCCUGCGGGAGGCAGCAGUGGGGAAUAUUGGACAGUGGGCGAAAGCCUGAUCCAGCCAGGCCGCGUGUGUGAAGAAGGUCUUCGGAUUGUAAAGCACUUUAAGUGGGGAGGAAGGGCAGUAAGUUAAUACCUUGCUGUUUUGACGGUACCAACAGAAUAAGCACCGGCUAACUUCGUG